AUGGAUUUCAUUCACAAAAUACACGAUGUCAAAUCCGAGGUCGGACCAUGAGAAUUCGCCAGACUUCAAUUUCCAGCGCACGCUCAGACCCAGCGGCCGAGGCUCAAGAAGCCAGCGACCGCUGGACAAUGACUAAUGCAUGUUAAUUUCUCCUAAAGAUGAAGACGUAAAAACGUGAAUAGAUUCGAGCUCCCCCGCAAGCGGCUGGACAGCCCCACAACCCCACCCCAGCCGCCUCAUCCGCAAUGCCAUCCUCGACUUCUGGCCAUAUGGGCAAACACAGAAUGUUAGCAGCAAUUUCUUUCAUCAAUCAACAAAUCCAAAUUAUGCAGGAUGAGCUAGUUGAGCUAGAAACUAUUGGCGUGGUAUCUACUGUUUGUCCAGAGAUGUGAAUUUGGAUUAGCAUAUGGGUCAAGAUCUGUGUACGAGUCAACCCAGAUGUACGGUACACCCUGGUGUAAAAGAGAUUUUGUGUAUGUAUUUUAUGUAUUGGUGUUAGAAUAAUGUUAAAUAAUGUUACUCUCUCCCUUCCAUUACAAACUUCU